rnacentral:lncRNA from 1 species
UCUCGCGAAGGACAGCAGCAGAAGCUUCAGCCUCCUCCUUCUCUUUCUUAAGAACCUCCGAUACAUUUUUCAACUCCUCCUUCUCCCUCCUGAGCACCUCAACCGCCUGCCGGACGGAAGCAAAUCCCUUAACUUCCUCCGACAGGCGAGCCUUCUCAGCCUCCAAAGUUUCAUUUUCCUUUUUAAGAGCCUCAAUGGCUUCAUCGCGGCAAAUAACCUCUCGGGAGCACCGCUCCUCCAAGGCAGCAGCCAUGUGAUGACCCUGCCCAAAAAAGCACACACAUGAAACCUCCGAACAAAAAAAACGGUGAAGGAAAAUAAAACAAAACAAAAACAUACAAGGCUAUGGUGCUCAUACUGCACGCGGAGGAGCGUGUCAAAGUCCAUGCCGCGGAGCUUUUGACGAAAACGAUCUGUAAAGCAAAAACAAGUAAGGAAAAAAUCGUAAGAACCAAAAACCAGCUAGCGGAGGCCAGAUUACAAACCUCCGACCAAAGAAUGAACUUCGCGCAAGGCAUCAGUCCAACCUGUGAUCGAAGGAUCAGAAGCACCUGCGCAAAACCAAAACCAACCUUAGAAUAAAAUUCUCAAAAAAAAAGAAGAAGAAGCAAAGAGUUAAACCAAAAGAGGAAGAAACUCACCAGGACCAAUAACAUCAGCAGGCGAAGGUCUGCUGGCCAACGCAGAAGGCGCAGGCUCGCGCCGCGGAGGAACAGCUAUUCCCUCCUGCGCAACGCUGGCACCUUUAUCCAACUCGUCCGCGGUAGCCAGCCCUGCAAAAACAUCCUCUGAAAAGUAUACGAAAGGCAUUAGACAAAGUUAAACAAAAUACGCAGAAAAACAAGAAACAACAAAAACAAAAUCUUUUUUACCCAUAUACAGCGAGUUUAUACCAUCUCCAGCCGGGCGCGGAGGAGCCUCCGCCCUCUUAAUCCUCCGAACAGAGGCAGACUCUGCCUCAUCACUUGAAUCCUGCAUAUCCUUUGGCGGAGAUCCUCUGCCAGCAGAAGCCUCCCGCGCAGGACUCUUCGCCAUCGCAGGAAUCGCCUCCCGCGCGGAACCAUCCCCAGGGGCCUCCGCAUCGGAAGACUCCUGUUGGGUAUUUUAAACGCAAACAGAAAAAUCCGCAAGCGCACGGAUACCGAUGUAGCCUUCACCCGGGAGUAUUCCAGAGUAUCGAUUUUCCACAGAGAAUGUGAGUGUACUAAUUAAGACUCAAGAUCGCCCAAGGAUAACUAUAUAAUUAUUUUUGAUGGGAAGAGAGGAAGUUUCCUGAGAGUUCUCUAGUUGAUCUAAGAAUCAAGAAUUAAUUCAAGAUUAUUUAUAUCGGGACAUCAGAGCACUAACCACAGAAAGAGAUGAGAAGGGGGCUAGGAAGGUCUGACUACGGUCCUACAAACACCGAUCCGAACGUGGUGGAAUACGUCGACCGUUAGGGCUGUCACUACCCUAAGGCUACCACAACAAUCCGCAGGAUUGGGUGCAAUUUCAGGUAAUUGCAAGACUAAACACCACGUCUAAUCUAUUAAUUACUACUCUAAUGUUUCAAAGAUUAGAGCACUUGAUGCA